rnacentral:ncRNA from 2 species
CUGAAUUAAAUAGUUGCACUUCGUAUAUCCUCGAUAAUAUGGUUCGAAAGUUUCUACCGGGACACCGUAAAUGUCCUGACUAUGAAGGCAUGAAUUCGUGGU